UACGACUACAUAUCAGGCAUAUCAAUAAGCGGAGGAAAAGAAACUAACUAAGGAUUCCCUCAGUAACGGCGAGUGAAGCGGGAAGAGCUCAAAUUUGAAAUCUUCAAGGUUUUACCUUGACGAAUUGUAGUUUAAAGAAGUGUUUUCUGUUGAAGUUUUGGUAAAAGUUCUUUGGAAUAGGACAUCAUAGAGGGUGAGAAUCCCGUAUUUGACCAUUAUUUUCAGCUGUGUGAUACACUUUCAAAGAGUCGGAUUGUUUGGGAAUGCAGUCCAAAAUGGGUGGUAAAUUUCAUCUAAAGCUAAAUAUUGGCGAGAGACCGAUAGCGAACAAGUACCGUGAGGGAAAGAUGAAAAGAACUUUGAAAAGAGAGUUAAACAGUACGUGAAAUUGUCAAAAGGGAAGCGUUUGACACCAGUGUUGUUUUCUCGAAAAUCAAUUAAAAAAAGUUGGAUUUUGUGUUGUAUUGACCUUAACAGCUUGCUUCACUCUUUUCCAGCUUUUUUUAAUGCACUUUUCGUUUAACAAGUCAACAUCAGUUUCUUUUGUUGUAAAAGGGUCAUUGGAAGGUGGCUUUCUCUUCGGAGAAAGUGUUUAUAGCCUUUGAUCUCUGCAAUCGGAGAGACUGAGGUCUGCAGCGUAGAUCCUUCGGGGUUAGAUACAUUUGUGCUAAGCUACAGCUUUUCAUAGACAACUUGUUGACUAUGUUUAGUCUUGUGACUUACCCGCUUAUGCUAUUUUACCUACGCUUAGGAUGUUGAGCGCAUGUCUCUCUCU
rnacentral:rRNA from 1 species